rnacentral:rRNA from 1 species
UGGAAGUAAAAGUCGUAACAAGGUUUCCGUAGGUGAACCUGCGGAAGGAUCAUUAUUGGAAUAAAGAGGCUGUUGCUGUUGCUAGAUCUAGUUAAUGUGCACGCCUUUUGUCUAUCUCUUUCCCCCUGUGCACCACUUUGUAGACAUUUUACCAUGUCUAUGAUACAUUCUGUCACAUAUAUGAAUGCAUCUUAUAAUAAUAAUAAUAUGUGUGUACAACUUUCAACAAUGGAUCUCUUGGCUCUCGCAUCGAUGAAGAACGCAGCGAAAUGCGAUAAGUAAUGUGAAUUGCAGAAUUCAGUGAAUCAUCGAAUCUUUGAACGCAUCUUGCGCUCUUUGGUACUCCGAAGAGCAUGCUUGUUUGAGUGUCAUUAAUCUCUCUCAAAAUUACUUUAUUUUGAGUAUUUGGGAGUCAUUGCUGGUAGUUUAUUUGAAGCUUCAGCUCUCCUUAAAUUGAGGACGGAAAUGUUGGUGUGUGAUAAUUUGUCUACACCAAGUUAGUAGUCCCCUCUGCUUUAAAUGAUUGACCUCAAAUCAAGCAAGACUACCCGCUGAACUUAAGCAUAUCAAUAAGCGGAGGAA